rnacentral:rRNA from 1 species
UACGGGGGGGGCAAGCGUUGUUCGGAAUUACUGGGCGUAAAGGGCGCGUAGGCGGUCAGACCGAGUCGAAUGUUAAAUUCCAGGGCUUAACUUUGGACGGUCGUUCGAUACUGGUCGGCUAGAGUGUGGAAGAGGAUGCUGGAAUUCCGAGUGUAGAGGUGAAAUUCGUAGAUAUUCGGAAGAACACCAGUGGCGAAGGCGACUUACUGGACACAUAUUGACGCUGAGGUGCGAAAGCGUGGGGAGCAAACAGG